GAUGAACGCUGGCGGUAUGCUUAACACAUGCAAGUCGAACGGACUCUUCGGAGUUAGUGGCGGACGGGUGAGUAACGCGUGAGAAUCUGGCUUUGGGUUCGGGACAACCACUGGAAACGGUGGCUAAUACCGGAUGUGCCGAGAGGUAAAAGAGAAAUUGCCUGAAGAUGAGCUCGCGUCUGAUUAGCUAGUUGGUGAGGUAAAGGCUCACCAAGGCAGCGAUCAGUAGCUGGUCUGAGAGGAUGAACAGCCACACUGGGACUGAGACACGGCCCAGACUCCUACGGGAGGCAGCAGUGGGGAAUUUUCCGCAAUGGGCGAAAGCCUGACGGAGCAAUACCGCGUGAGGGAAGAAGGCUCUUGGGUUGUAAACCUCUUUUCUUAGGGAAGAACAAAAUGACGGUACCUAAGGAAUCAGCAUCGGCUAACUCCGUG
rnacentral:rRNA from 1 species